UACGGGGGGAGCAAGCGUUGUUCGGAUUUACUGGGCGUAAAGGGUGUGCAGGCGGGCUGUUAAGUGGUGUAUGAAAUCGCCGGCUCAACCGGGCGAGGUUAUGCCAGACUGGCAGUCUAGAGAGCGAGAGAGGGACGUGGAAUUCCGGGUGUAGUGGUGAAAUGCGUAGAGAUCCGGAGGAACCCCAGAGGCGAAGGCGGCGUCCUGGCUCGCAUCUGACGCUCAGACACGACAGCAUGGGGAGCGAACGGG
rnacentral:rRNA from 1 species